GGAAAAGUAUGGAAGUGCUCCACCAAAGGACAAGAGGACACAAUAUGCAUUGGGGAUUGUAACACUGUUCCCUUCCCUAAGAGAUCCCUACUCCAGAAAGGGCUAUGAGCAUUUCUUUGAUGCAGAGAGCAAUGAGGGCUACAUUGCAUGGAAACUAAAAAACACACAGCGAGGACUCAGUUCUGGCAAUAACAGUGGAGUCAAGAGAAGGACCUCUCAAACCACAGAGAGCAGCGGACUGGAGCUGGCGAAAGGUUUUAACUUUUAUGUUUGAUCUUUUACACAUCUGUUUUUUUUUUAAAUCUCAGUGAUGAUAUAAAAAAAAUAAUUUGUCAAGCUUAUUUUGCACCAUGGCUUCGUACCUUUGGCAGUGUUUGAUGUUUGGUGUAUGAACUAAUUUAUGGUUCAGUUUCAGAUUACACCUGUUGACAGUACUGCAGCACCCGCUGAAUGUCAUGUUGUACAUUAACAGGCUGAGUAUAUUGUUCUUUAAAGGACAGGUUCAGAUUUUUGAAGGCUGUAUCACCCAAAGUUACAGUAUCUGUGUUUCAGCAGACAAUGUUUCCUUGCUGAGCUGUAGUGGAGCACUAGUAAUUCAAAGAGGGAUUU